rnacentral:rRNA from 1 species
GAUGAACGCUGGCGGUAUGCUUAACACAUGCAAGUCGAACGGGGGUUACCAGUACAAAGGGCUUCGGCCCAAUGAACUGACUAACCUAGUGGCGGACGAGUGAGUAACACGUGAGUAACCAACCUUAUACACAAGGAUAACACUGGGAAACCAGUGCUAAUACUAGAUAUUAUGUAAAGAAGGCAUCUUUUUUAUAUGAAAGAUUUAUCGGUAUAAGACGGGCUCGCGUCCGAUUAGCUAGUUGGUAGGAUAGAAGCCUACCAAGGCGACGAUCGGUAGCCGGACUGAGAGGUCGAUCGGCCACACUGGGACUGAGAACGGCCCAGACUCCUACGGGAGGCAGCAGUGGGGAAUAUUGGGCAAUGGAGGCAACUCUGACCCAGCGAUACCGCGUGAAGGAAGAAGGCCUUCGGGUUGUAAACUUCUUUAGACAGGGAAGAAAGAAAUGACAUUACCUGUAGAAUAAGCCACGGCUAACUACGUG